GAUGAACGCUGGCGGCGUGCCUAAUACAUGCAAGUCGAGCGAAUGAUGAGGAGCUUGCUCCUCUGAUUUAGCGGCGGACGGGUGAGUAACACGUGGGUAAUCUGCCUGUAAGACGGGGAUAACUCCGGGAAACCGGGGCUAAUACCGGAUAAUAAGAGAAGAAGCAUUUCUUCUUUUUGAAAGUCGGUUUCGGCUGACACUUACAGAUGAGCCCGCGGCGCAUUAGCUAGUUGGUGAGGUAACGGCUCACCAAGGCGACGAUGCGUAGCCGACCUGAGAGGGUGAUCGGCCACACUGGGACUGAGACACGGCCCAGACUCCUACGGGAGGCAGCAGUAGGGAAUCUUCGGCAAUGGGCGAAAGCCUGACCGAGCAACGCCGCGUGAGCGAUGAAGGCCUUCGGGUCGUAAAGCUCUGUUGUUAGGGAAGAACAAGUACGAGAGUAACUGCUCGUACCUUGACGGUACCUAACCAGAAAGCCACGGCUAACUACGUGCCAGCCGCCGCAGUAA
rnacentral:rRNA from 1 species